rnacentral:piRNA from 1 species
UCAAUUUAGUAACAGUUUCCCAUUCUGGAA